UACGAAGGGGGCUAGCGUUGCUCGGAAUCACUGGGCGUAAAGGGUGCGUAGGCGGGUCUUUAAGUCAGGGGUGAAAUCCUGGAGCUCAACUCCAGAACUGCCUUUGAUACUGAGGAUCUUGAGUUCGGGAGAGGUGAGUGGAACUGCGAGUGUAGAGGUGAAAUUCGUAGAUAUUCGCAAGAACACCAGUGGCAAAGGCGGCUCACUGGCCCGAUACUGACGCUGAGGCACGAAAGCGUGGGAGCAAACAGGG
rnacentral:rRNA from 1 species